CUGAAUAUAAUCAAGCCUCUAGAUCUAACUACCAAUUUAUAGACAUUAGGGGGAUAGAAGAGCUUAUUCAAUGACACCAUGAAAAUACAAUGUAAAAAUUCUACUGGACAAAUAACCUGACUUUAUCAGCAAAUAACUUGCACAGAAAAAAAUGAAGGGAGCACUGUUACAGAUUAAAGGAGACUUCAGAGGUGUACCAAACCAAGUGCAACAUGCUGACCUUGUUUGGACAUUGUUUUGAAUAAAUGAAACCUUCAGAAAAAGCAAAA